rnacentral:lncRNA from 1 species
GUUAAACCUGCUCUGUCCACUGUGUGAGACGAACAGGUGGAGGGUGGACGACGCAGAGAAAGCUCGGAGCGGGCCGCGGAGGUUCCCACAGCCCCAUUACUGUCAGCGUUGAGCCGCACCCCUCCGGGCCGCACUUCCUCUCUCAGUCCCCGCUGCCGGAGAGCCCCGCUAGGCUCGGUGAUCCUAGCCUGCAGUUUGCCGCCGCUACACCUUGGCUUCAGCCUGCGGGGUCCCAGCCAGGCCUGCCCCUGCGGUAUGAGAGAGGAACCUUAACAUCUCCAUCUCUACAGAGGUUUCAGCUGUAAGGAGCAUCCUCCUCUCUCAGGAUGACUUCAGCCUCCAGCCCCCCAGCUUUCAGGCUGGAGACUUCCGAUGGAGAUGAAGAGGGCAAUGCUGAG